rnacentral:rRNA from 1 species
UACAUAGGGUGCGAGCGUUGUCCGGAAUUAUUGGGCGUAAAGGGCUCGUAGGCGGUUUGUCGCGUCGGGAGUGAAAACUCAGGGCUUAACCCUGAGCCUGCUUCCGAUACGGGCAGACUAGAGGUAUGCAGGGGGAGAACGGAAUUCCUGGUGUAGCGGUGAAAUGCGCAGAUAUCAGGAGGAACACCGGUGGCGAAGGCGGUUCUCUGGGCAUUACCUGACGCUGAGGAGCGAAAGUGUGGGGAGCGAACAGG